ACCCGCACAAGCGGUGGAUGAUGUGGAUUAAUUCGAUGCAACGCGAAAAACCUUACCUACCCUUGACAUGUCCGGAAUCCCGAAGAGAUUUGGGAGUGCUCGCAAGAGAGCCGGAACACAGGUGCUGCAUGGCUGUCGUCAGCUCGUGUCGUGAGAUGUUGGGUUAAGUCCCGCAACGAGCGCAACCCUUGUCAUUAGUUGCCAUCAUUUGGUUGGGCACUCUAAUGAGACUGCCGGUGACAAACCGGAGGAAGGUGGGGAUGACGUCAAGUCCUCAUGGCCCUUAUGGGUAGGGCUUCACACGUCAUACAAUGGUCGGUACAGAGGGUUGCCAACCCGCGAGGUGGAGCAAAUCGCAGAAAGCCGGCCUUAGUUCGGAUUGGAGUCUGAAACUCGACUCCAUGAAGGUGGAAUCGCUAGUAAUCGCGCAUCAGCAUGGCGCGGUGAAUAUGUUCCCGGGCCUU
rnacentral:rRNA from 1 species